UUCGGAAUUACUGGGCGUAAAGGGCUCGUAGGCGGCCAACUAAGUCAGACGUGAAAUCCCUCGGCUUAACCGGGGAACUGCGUCUGAUACUGGAUGGCUUGAGAUUGGGAGAGGGACGCGGAAUUCCAGGUGUAGCGGUGAAAUGCGUAGAUAUCUGGAGGAACACCGGUGGCGAAGGCGGCGUCCUGGACCAACACUGACACUGAAAAGCGAAAGCCAGGGGAGCAAACGGG
rnacentral:rRNA from 1 species